rnacentral:tRNA from 1 species
GGGGAUGGCUCAGUGGUAGAGCACAUGCUUAGCAUGCAUGAGGUCCUGGGUCCAACCCCCAGCACCUCCA